UAAACUGCGAGCGGAAAUCGCAGGUAGCCCGUGGGCCGCCAGUUGCCCGAAGGCCCUGUAAGAAGGAACAGUGAUAACUCUUGCACGGUGCACCCUGUGUAUUCCCAUAGAUCGGUGACAGUGUCCAGCAACGGGGGGAGUUUUAGAUUACAUCUAUUUCCAUUCUGCGAGCGGGACUGUGGAAUUUAAGUUUCGACGGGCUGACACGACGAUUACAAGAAACAAUGGAACGAUUCAGAUUUCCGUUUUAUUGCAUUCAGAAGACCCUUGGAAGCCGCCGACGCACGAGAAUCCGCGGUCCAGCUAACAAUCGCGUCGGUAAUUAUCAAACAUUGCACGGGUUUGCUAUUGCACGACUUGUGUGUGUUAAUUAUUGCACUGUUCAGUUCCUCGUUCCCUCUUAACCCGUUUGGCACUUGUGUCGUCUUCCCGAGUCGACUGGAUUCAACCCUUCGCGUCCUGAAUGUACUUCGCCGCACCGUUUCCGAGAAAACACGAACGCGAGUGUCUCUGAAUUCUCCGUUCCAAUGCAAUCUAAUUCAAAUGACAUGCAUACCCUAACAACGAAUAAAACGUACGCGUUACUCAACAGUAGAACUACCAGACGUCUCAAUAACUCCACAAUUUUUCUCUUACAAUCAUCCAAAUUAGAAUCCUCCCAAAACUUAAAAUCCAUUGAUAUACUUUUACAAACAGAACAGUAGAAGCCUCUUUGAAACCAAAUAUAUUCGACAAACUCCAAGAAUAAUUCCAAUUUCUAUAAGAACCUCUAAAUAAUCCUCUUCAUUCGCUCGGUAGUCCUAGUGUUCAAAGCAUCUCAAUAAAGACAACAACAACAAAUAAGAUACAAAUCAUUCAGGACACAAAGGGUCGCCAAAGCUUCUGUUGACACUUUCAUUUGCUCGUUUCAGUCGGAUCGAAGCUAUGCCAAGGAUCAAGACCGAUCCUCCCGAGGAUCCAAGACGAUCGCGGGUUAAGAACGACCGCGAUCCGUCCCCGAGGAUCUUCGGAAGCGGAGCUCCUCGCGCCGGAACGUUUGGCUCACGCACACGCGGCGCCGCUCGCAGCCUCCGCCGCCCUGAUUCACCGAAGACACCUCCAAUCACAACGGCGAUGAUCGAUGCGACGAUCGGACGACUCGGGACGAGCCUCCAGUCCGCCGAGAGGGAACAACCUCGUCGUCCGACCGCUCGAUAUCGCGUCCAAGGUACUGCUCCCGGUUAGCUGCUGCUGCUGUUUUUGUUAUGCUGUUGUGUUUGCUGGCUGGAUCCUACGGAAUCUAGAAGUCUAACGGCUGAUCGGCGGACCCCUCGAGGUCCUGGGCGGAGUCCGUGCCGCCGUCUUCGUCGUCGUCCAGGUCCACGCUGUUGGUCUUCAGGCCGCCGUUGCUGAUCUUGUUGACGAUCGUGUCUGGAAUGCGAUUGUAGCGUUGGUCAAUGGUGUCUCGAGGUUCUCGUACGCGUUGAAACUUAGGCAUCGCUACAAUGUUGAGUCUUCCAAAGUUUUAUGAUACAUGUUGCACUCAGAAUAAGCGAGAAAGGCUCAAGCUUGUAGCGGUGUCCGCAAGUUUCAAUGGAUGAGGGUCUUUAGAGUACUUAAGAUAUUAUUUAACACGUUGAAUGCCGCACAAUUUUGUAAAGCAAUAUACAAAAUGUGUAAUCUGAUUGCAUUAUUAUUGUUACACGUUCUAGCUGAAUGUCACGGAAUUAGGUAAUGUUAUUUGUAUUAUAGAAAUGAUAGAAACAAAGAAUUGUUUCUAAAUAAUCGUUUCACUGAACUACAGUAAUUCUGAGAAAAAUGAUUGCCUACAAAAAUUGUGCGUACCAUAAAUGGUACACGUGGUAUACAACGUGUUAGAUAGUGAGCAGUAGACGGAGCAGACAAGCGAUAGAUAGUUCCUAGGAACAUAGUCGAGGGUAAUAUCUGUUCAGCGACCUUGGGCGAACGUUUUCUGCCGGGAGGAAUGCGAAGCUGGAAUAUUGCGAGUUCGCUGCGGCGUGUAAUGUUCCAAACGCUGACUAUCGUCGAGCGAUCGUCAAACUUACCGCAGUCUGGUUUGCUGCCACGUGUUCUGGUACCGGCGAACUCGACGCCAUGGGGGUCGACGCACCAGCAAAGACCGAGGCCACGAUUGCAUUGGGUGCUUCGGUAAUAGCCUCUUGAGUCGCAGGCGGGCGCCACGUCGGGGGAUAAUCGUUUACGGACGGCGGCGCACGGACGCUCGGCUUUUGAGAAACAUCCGCACCAUUCGGGACCGUUCACGAAGAUGUCUCUGAAAUGGACGAAUUAAAAAUACUUCACUGACAAUUUUAACUCUUCCCGAGAAGCACUUCGUCUUUGACGAUGGACAGUGCGUCAGUGUUCUUCGAGUCAAGUGUAUAUAGAUUAACAUUAGAACUACCGAUCUUUUCAAAAUGUCUUUAUAAUUUAAGUGAUAUAAAUAUAAUGUAAAAUGUCUUUUGAAUUUGUUGAGAUUUCAACUGGCUUAUAUUUCAGUUUAUUACUGAAUUAAUUUCAUUAAUAAUUUCUUAAGGAAGUCUCUGUACCUUUGCAGUAAUUGUAAGAGAAGAAAUUAGGAAUUGGCCAUUUUCACAUAUCUGGUAGUUCUAGUGUUAUAUAGCACUUUGUUUAUUUGAAACUCGAGAACCACUGAAAUUGUACUUUUAUAAAAAUACUUCUGUAGUUGAAAAGAAUUUGAACAUAGAGGUUUCGUUUUUGUACUAGUAUCAUUGAUGUCAGUCUUUGUCUGCGACAUUCAAACUCGCAUCGGAAACAAUUACACAGUAAUCAAAUUGAGUGCGACGUUUCUGCGUAAUGUGUUCCAUCUCGAUAAAGUACCUGCUGUAUCUGAGCAAUAAAGGUCGCGCAGUAAAGCAGAGAGUAAAGCGGUUAGUUAAGUAGUAAACUGACUUGUAUACGCAAACGACGAGAAGAGAGAUUGAUAUUAUAUGGCGAGUAUGUGUAUAUGAUCCCAUGACCUGCUGAGUAUGGUCAUAACCAGUUCACCCUCUGACUGCCACGUCACUCAAAUAUAGAUGAAACCAUUUCUUAUAUACACUACAUUAAUUUCCUUAGUAACCCAACGA